rnacentral:rRNA from 1 species
UACGGAGGGUGCAAGCGUUAUUCGGAAUUAUUGGGCGUAAAGCGCGCGUAGGCGGUUUACUAAGUCUGAUGUGAAAUCCCUGGACCCAAUCCAGGAAGUGCAUUGGAUACUGGUAAACUGGAGUGCCGGAGAGGGUGGCGGAAUUCCCCAAGUAGAGGUGAAAUUCGUAGAUAUGGGGAGGAACACCGGUGGCGAAGGCGGCCACCUGGACGGUAACUGACGCUGAGACGCGAAAGCGUGGGGAGCAAACAGG